rnacentral:rRNA from 1 species
AAACCCUUACCGAAAGCAAUUGGAGGGCAAGUCUGGUGCCAGCAGCCGCGGUAAUUCCAGCUCCAAUAGCGUAUAUUAAAGUUGUUGCAGUUAAAAAGCUCGUAGUUGAAGUUCUGGCUGCUUGACCCUCGAGCUCUGUAGCCGAGGGCUCAGCAGUCAUCCGCUUGCAAAUAUAUGUUCGCCUUUAACCGGGCGGCUAUAUGAGUAAGCAUUUUACCUUGAGAAAAACAGAGUGUUCCAGGCAGGUUUGUCCGGAAUGCAUUAGCAUGGAAUAAUAGAAUAUGACUGAAGUCGAUUUAUUGGUUUGAGGCUUUAGUAAUGAUUAAUAGGAACAGUCGGGGGCAUUGGUACUUGUCAGUCAGAGGUGAAAUUCUAGGAUUUGACAAAGACUAACAAAUGCGAAAGCAUUUGCCAAGGAUGUUUUCAUUAAUUAAGAACGAAAGUUAGGGGAUCAAAGACGAUCAGAUACCGUCCUAGUCUUAACUAUAAACUAUACCGACUCGGAUUCAGAUGAAUCAUAAAGUUCAUUUGGGACCGUAGGAGAAAUCAAAGUUUUUGGGUUCUGGGGGAAGUAUGGUCGCAAGGCUGAAACUUAAAGGAAUUGACGGUUUUGCACCACCAUGGAGUGGAGUCUGCGGCUUAAUUUGACCCAACACUGGGAAACUCAUCAGGGCAAGAAGAUUGUAGGAUUGACAGAUUGAGAGUUCUUUCUUGAUUGGUCUAGUGGUGGUGCAUGGCCGUUCUUAGUUGGUGGAGUGAUUUGUCUGGUUAAUUCCGUUAACGAACGAGACCUUAACCUGCUAACUAGUACACCGAUGACAAAUCGGUGAUACUUCUUAGAGGGACUAUGUGAUGUAAUCACAUGGAAGUUUGAGGCAAUAACAGGUCUGUGAUGCCCUUAGAUGUCCUGAGCUGCACGCGUACUACAAUGGUGCUUUCAUCGAGCUUUUCCUGAUCCGAGAGGAUUUGGGUAAUCUUUUUAGUGAGCACCGUGCUUGGGAUAGAUCUUUGUAAUUAUGGAUCUUGAACUAGGAAUUCCUAGUAAGCACGUGUCAUCAGCACGUGCUGAUUACGUCCCUGCAAAAUGUACACACCGCCCGUCGCUAUUACCGAUUGAGUGUAAAGGUGAACCUUCUCGAUAGGCGCAAGCUUAGAAAUUAAGUAAACCUUUGCACUUAGAGGAAAUAAAAGUCGUAACAAGGUUUCCGUAGGUGAACCUGCGGAAG